GCAAAUCAUUUUGCAUGGAAAAAGAAAACAAAUCUAUUUUUAAAAUAUCCAGAGUCUGCAUAUAUUUGCUACAGGAACCACGCAGCAUCACCCUGCACUCCUGUCUCUGCACGUACACCUGCAACAUCCAGUCCUUGAGAGCACAGCUUGGAGCAGGUUUGGAAGAAUUUGGAGGUAUUUUCUAGCACCUGAUAUUUCAUAAUGCUGACAGCCCUUCCCUGGUGCCUUAUUAGUGUGAUUAGAAAUGACAGGGUGCAUUAGGGGCAGAGUUUUGACUGAUGUAGUUUUUGCCAGCCAUUCAUUCUUUCUCUCUGUACAGCUCUGCUUCAUCUUGCCAUCUAAUAGACCUGCAGCUCACUGGGGCAUCAGCAAUGGAGAAACACCACAAAAGGAGGAAACGUGAUGCCACAAAACCCUCUGUAUUUUCCAAUGCAUUGCAAGUAUGCAAACACCUGUGGUAAUCUAUUAAAGGGGACAUGGAAGGGGAAAAUCCUCAGCUUCAACUCACAUGACCCAUUUCCCUGACAUUGAGGUCAGUUUACUGAUUUCAUCACCCCUUUAAGAUGAAUGAAGAGUGAAAGG